GGCAGCUUUCCUUCAGCCUGUGCUGAGGGUGCUGUUACGACACCUGAGUUUGCUGUAAACUAUUACGUGUCUCAGAGAAAAUCUGAAAUGAGAGAACUGGAGAAAGAACUGGUGUCUGUGGCUUUAGAUCAAGGAAUAAACGACUUGUCUCCCCCUCCCUCAUCUACAGAAAUGACGGGUUAGUGACGGUGUCCCCCGGGGACAGCAGCUGGGCAGGACGAGGCUCAAAUGCACUCAGGAACUUCGCUACAACCAAGAAGGUUUUAAGACGGAAGGUGGAGCACCAGUGGGAAGGCCGUGUACUGAAGUGGUUUUGCCGUACGUGCAGAGGGAUAAAGUGUGCAUAAUCCAGCUGUGUAAUGAGGUUGUGUGCGAAGGGAGGAGCGCUGGAGACCCCCGUCAGCCGCUGUGGUAACGUACUUGGCUCCGUACACAGCACAGCUGAAAUGGAAGCUCCUGCGCAUCAGGAAGCUGCAGACGGUUUCUUGUUGCACUGCUCCUCGAGAAGGAGCUAAAGGCAGUGGUGACCGUUCCCCUCGGCCAAGCGCGAGUGUGCCAGCGUGGUGAAACAAGGCCACAAAAGCAUGGUAUAUUACAGAUUUACAAACACAGAGAGACUCUUUCAAACGGAACUGUAGAUAACCCGGCUCUGUGAAGAAACUUCACCACGUCUCGUGAUGCAUAAAGCAAGACUUCUUCCCCGCCCCAUUCACUAGCUGUUCUAUAAUGAUGUAAAGAAGACGGAAGGAGUUAAAAUGAAAAAAAGAAGUAAUGAAUGGCGUUAAACGUUUUUGCAUUUCCGUGACCUGCACCAGGUUCCUACCUACGUCAUACUGGUAUUGUCAUAUUGACACAUUCUGGUUGAUGAAGCCUCACUGCCAGGGAUGUUUGGAAAUCCUGUGUGUUAAAUCUCUGCAUCAGCAGGUAUGUGAUUUGAAAUGCAUUUAUUUGAAGUGUUUUCCCCCAGUCACACAGUGAGAGAAAGUGCAGAGAAACAUCCCAAGGUUCCCCAGCAAGUACUGCAUGAAAAGAUUUCAUGAAAAGUACUAAUUGCACAGAAGGUAGAAAGCUAAAGCUCGCUGCCUGGGUUGCUAUAGCAACUGCCCUCCAAAGCUUUUUGUGUUAUCCGUGCAGAGAAAGGUGGAGGGUAUGUGCUUUAGAACAGUAUUUGUAUCUACAGGAAAAGAUUUUUGUGACUGCAGCUGAAUCAUAAACGUCUGCUGACUACUGAAAGACUGGGGAAACUACAGCUUCUAAAAUAAGAGCAUGGCUGGAUGCACUGGCCCUGUCUGCUGUUUGUCAGUUAGACUAAAAUAAACAUGACGACUUAUUUGUCUGUGUGAGGUGUUUGCUUUUUUAAAGAAGCUUUUCGCAACAAGAAGAAAGAACAGCUCUCUCCGCCCCUGAUUUUGAACUGGUAUUUUCUACUGGGGCUUAGGAUCGAUGGUUAGAAAGAGUGCGGAGGGGAUAUGUGCUAGCCUGUCCCUGGGUAGACAGGAUACAAAGAGGUGUCCAUUGUUUCACCUCCUUUUAUUCCUGUUAAUACACCAGUGCCUACACAGUUAAGCUUAGUAAGACGGUUUUGUUCUCCUCAAAUUCUAA